rnacentral:tRNA from 1 species
UGUAAUUAAGUGUAAGAUGCACUUGAUUUUUUGAAAAUCAAAGAUAAGUUUAAUUCUUAAAAUUACAA